rnacentral:rRNA from 1 species
AUUGAACGCUGGCGGCAUGCCUUACACAUGCAAGUCGAACGGCAGCACGGGUGCUUGCCCCUGGUGGCGAGUGGCGAACGGGUGAGUAAUACAUCGGAACAUGUCCUGUAGUGGGGGAUAGCCCGGCGAAAGCCGGAUUAAUACCGCAUACGAUCUACGGAUGAAAGCGGGGGACCUUCGGGCCUCGCGCUAUAGGGUUGGCCGAUGGCUGAUUAGCUAGUUGGUGGGGUAAAGGCCUACCAAGGCGACGAUCAGUAGCUGGUCUGAGAGGACGACCAGCCACACUGGGACUGAGACACGGCCCAGACUCCUACGGGAGGCAGCAGUGGGGAAUUUUGGACAAUGGGCGAAAGCCUGAUCCAGCAAUGCCGCGUGUGUGAAGAAGGCCUUCGGGUUGUAAAACACUUUUGUCCGGAAAGAAAUCCUUGGCCCUAAUACGGUCGGGGGAUGACGGUACCGGAAGAAUAAGCACCGGCUAACUACGUG